rnacentral:rRNA from 1 species
GACGAACCGUGCGAACGUUGUUCGGAAUCACUGGGCUUAAAGGGCGCGUAGGCGGGCGGUCAAGUCAGAGGUGAAAUCCCACGGCUCAACCGUGGAAGCGCCCCUGAUACUGAUUGUCUCGAGGGAGGUAGGGGCGUGCGGAACUUCCGGUGGAGCGGUGAAAUGCGUAGAUAUCGGAAGGAACACCGAUGGCGAAAGCAGCGCGCUGGACCUCUACUGACGCUGAGGCGCGAAAGCCAGGGGAGCAAACAGG